rnacentral:rRNA from 1 species
UACAGAGGUCUCAAGCGUUGUUCGGAUUCAUUGGGCGUAAAGGGUGCGUAGGCGGCGCGGUAAGUCGGGUGUGAAAUCUCGGAGCUUAACUCCGAAACUGCAUUCGAUACUGCCGUGCUUGAGGACUGGAGAGGAGACUGGAAUUUACGGUGUAGCGGUGAAAUUCGUAGAUAUUCGCAAGAACACCAGUGGCGAAGGCGGCUCACUGGCCCGAUACUGACGCUGAGGCACGAAAGCGUGGGGAGCAAACAGG